CCAAGAUGACCACCUCCCUCCAGCAUCAGAGAAACAGGAAGUGGGCGGGGCUUAGAGCUGCCAUCCAGGCCUGAGAGCUUCUGUCAUCAUCAGAGAAUGAUGAAGGAACCGUCUCUGCUGCUUCUGCUCUUUCUGACAUCACUGCUGUGGAGUUUGACUAAAGCAGCUGGUGUGACUGUG